rnacentral:lncRNA from 1 species
GGGGUACAGGUUGGUAGCUUUAUCUCUGCUUUAGCUCCUCGCAGUGUAGCUAAGAUGACGACACGCAUUGGCGCAUAUACUGAGUUCGAUGCUGACUUGAACUGGUUGGAAACUGACCCGAGCAGGGCAAAAACUGCAGGCGGAUCCAGGUGUGUACACAAUAUAUUAUUCCUGUGCAGUUUCACUUUGGUUUUGGAUGAUGUCUACUGAUGGGGACGUUUUGCAUUUGUGGAGGAGGAUAAGCGACAGCAGGAAAGACAUUGAAUAAUUGUCUAAUAGACCGGUGGGGUUGUGUUUCUGAGGCUCAGACGAUGGCCUUCAAAUUGAUAUUUGUGUGAAAUUGAGUGCUCGAACACUUGCAUAAAUCAUUUUUUUUAUCA